rnacentral:rRNA from 1 species
GCUUGUCUCAAAGAUUAAGCCAUGCAUGUCUUAGUGUAAAUAACUCUUAUGAAACUGCGAAUGGCUCAUUAAAUCAGUUAUCAAAUACGUGAUGGUCGCCUACUACAUGGAUAACCGUAGUAAUUCUAGAGCUAAUACAUGCAUCAACCCCCGACUUUUGAAGGGGUGUAUUUAUUAGAUUGAAACCAAUGCGGGUUCGCCCGGUAUUUGGUGAUUCAUAAUAACUUUCGGAUCGACUUCGGUCGAUGCAUCAUUCAAGUUUCUGCCCUAUCAGCUUUGGAUGGUAGGGUAUUGGCCUACCAUGGCUUUAACGGGUAACGGAGAAUUAGGGUUCGAUUCCGGAGAGGGAGCCUGAGAAAUGGCUACCACAUCCAAGGAAGGCAGCAGG